rnacentral:lncRNA from 1 species
UUUACACUUCCACAUAAUAACUUACCCAAAGGGAAAUCUUCUUCUUCUUCUUCUUUUUAAUUCACUUUAUGUUCUAGUUAAAGCCUUUAACAAAUAUUUUAUAUAAUCAAUUAAAUGUACUCCAUUUUAUUCGGGUUACACAAUGACUAAUAUAUUUUUUUAGAGGUCAAUUUAAAGUCAAAAAACCGUACAUUAGCAAAAGGGAAAUUUACACUUCGGUACCAACUACUUUCUUAGAAAAUAAAAGGAUCAAAGUUUGAUAAAAGCUACUUUCAUAGGUCCCCUUAUUUUAAGAUAUAUGGAGUAAAACCAAAAAUUCAACUUCUAGUUUGUCAUCCUACAAUAUUGUCCUCAAUUUUUAUUUUUAUAAUUUUUUUGGGUCAACAAAGGUAGUAUGUAUUUUAAUGGCGAUCCAUUAUUACAUAUACUAAUACCCGGUGACAUACAC